rnacentral:rRNA from 1 species
AUGCUGGAUAUGGGCAGGGGCCGUCCCAAGGAGGCGAUUGAGGAGUUGAGGGUGGAAGAUGAUGUGAAGCUUGAAGGUUUCAGCGCACUGCACAUCGCGGCCAGUAGAUGUAGUCUGCAGGUGUGCAAGUACCUCGUCGAGGAGCUGCUGAUAGAUGUGGAUCUGGUCGACAAGGAAGGUAGAACACCUCCGCUGUUUGCCAAAUACCACAAUGGGGGUACUGUCGAGUAUCUUCUUGAUCAUGGUGCUAAUCCAGACAAAGCAAAUAACGACGGGGCUUUCCUGUUACAUUAUGCCGCUGAAUUAGGCAUUUGUGAAAUGAUAGAGCUUUUGCUUGCAAAAGGAGCUUAUGUUGACCCAGUAUCUGCUCGUGGAACACCACUUCAUGUUGCUGCUGCUGAACGGCAUUAUGAUGCUAUGAAGAUUUUAUUGGACCACAAUGCAGAUUACAACAAGAUGGUAAAUGGUGUGACACCUCUUAUGGCUGCUACAGAUGCCAACUCAACGGAAUGUAUCAAGCUCCUAGUUAAGGUUCAGGAGGAGCCUAUGCUUAAACGGGAAAUCGCGGCAUCAGAGCUUAUAUCACUAGGGAGUAUCUCUUUAAAGAAAAAAGAUUAUGUUGUCGCAGCAAAAUUGUACAGUCAGGUAUAUUAA